GCUGCCACGUCCUCGGCGGCGAGCGGCGGGCGGGCAGCGCAGCCCGCGCCUCAGCCCCACGUGUGGCGGCGGAGCGGGGAAGUUGCCGGCGGCCGGCGCUGCGGACCCUGCUCCUCUCCCGCCGCUGCCCGGCCCUUGCCGUCCCUCGGGAGGACGCAACUCCAAUUUCUUGCACAGCCAACCACUCAGCAGAAAAGGAAUUCUUCAGCCUCUUGUUUCAAAAGACCUUGAACAAUCUUCUGCUGUUCCACUCCCUUUGGUCCCACAUUUCAGCAAAAAAAAGAUCCACAGAGGAGGAUGAGGCAGCUUAGAGGAAAACCCAAAAAAGAGACCUCCAAAGAUAAAAAGGAGAGAAAGCAGGCAAUGCAAGAAGCCCGGCAACAGAUCACCACCGUGGUGCUUCCCACACUGGCUGUCGUGGUACUGCUGAUUGUUGUGUUUGUUUAUGUAGCGACUCGGCCCAACACAACUGAAUGAUGCAGCUUUUCAGACUCUCUAGCUUUGGGAUAUUAAUUUUAAAAAGAGCCAAAAGGAACUCUCUGCCACUCUUUUAGUACUUUGCAAAGGAUCUUGCUGGUAUUUUCAGUCUUUCUCUUGGCCAGAGUCCCACAGAUUCUCUUUAGGAAUGUAACAUAAAACGUAUUAGUGAAUGUGCCAGUACGUUUUAUGGUCCAGUUAUGUGCCUUUCAGACUUUUAAAAAUGGUGUUUUUCUUAAAGCUGUUUGAAGCUCUAUAUUGUAAAAGGAAAUCGUGUUCUGCUAUAAAUUUGUAAAAAUCAGCUUUCAGCUUUUAUCACUGUUACAGAUAAUGUUGCUCCCAUGAGCUCUUGUAUGUCUAUUUCAGAAUUUCCAAAGAAGUACAUUUCUUCUUUGUACUUAAUGUCAUAUGAAGUGCUUUGAUUCAGAAAGGAUAUAUUUAUUUUUGAAUAAAGAAGUCUUACUUGGAAUCUUCAAAUUAUUUUGCAAAAAAAAUGUGACAUUGUGAGAGCCUACAUUGUGUAAUAAUUUUUUUCAUCGACCACUAUGUAGUUCACUCAAAAAGAAUUUCUUUUUGGUGUGAGAUGCCAACAUGCAAAGUGAAUACUUCAGGACCUGCUGGAUGGAAUCUUACAGAAUUUGGACAGGGAGAUUCUGCCAGGUUAUGGUGAAGUAACUAAUAACAAACUACAUAAACACAGAUAGUUGCUUAUCUGAAUGUUCAAUAUUUGAAACUGUGUAAGUGGCAAUAAAAAGGUGGUUUUGCAUACAAAA